rnacentral:piRNA from 1 species
UGACUGCUUCCUUCUGCCUCUGUGGAU